CAGCCAUCAUUUAAAGAAAGCGUAAUAGCUCACUGGUCGAGUCGGCCUGCGCGGAAGAUGUAACGGGGCUAAACCAUGCACCGAAGCUGCGGCAGCGACACUAUGUGUUGUUGGGUAGGGGAGCGUUCUGUAAGCCUGCGAAGGUGACCUGUGAGGGUUGCUGGAGGUAUCAGAAGUGCGAAUGCUGACAUAAGUAACGAUAAAGCGGGUGAAAAGCCCGCUCGCCGGAAGACCAAGGGUUCCUGUCCAACGUUAAUCGGGGCAGGGUGAGUCGACCCCUAAGGCGAGGCCGAAAGGCGUAGUC
rnacentral:rRNA from 1 species